rnacentral:rRNA from 1 species
GUGGGGAAUCUUAGACAAUGGGGGAAACCCUGAUCUAGCCAUGCCGCGUGAGCGAUGAAGGCCUUAGGGUUGUAAAGCUCUUUCAGCUGGGAAGAUAAUGACGGUACCAGCAGAAGAAGCCCCGGCUAACUCCGUGCCAGCAGCCGCGGUAAUACGGAGGGGGCUAGCGUUGUUCGGAAUUACUGGGCGUAAAGCGCACGUAGGCGGAUCAGAAAGUCAGAGGUGAAAUCCCAGGGCUCAACCUUGGAACUGCCUUUGAAACCCCUGGUCUUGAGGUCGAGAGAGGUGAGUGGAAUUCCGAGUGUAGAGGUGAAAUUCGUAGAUAUUCGGAGGAACACCAGUGGCGAAGGCGGCUCACUGGCUCGAUACUGACGCUGAGGUGCGAAAGCGUGGGGAGCAAACAGGAUUAGAAACCCGAGUAGUCC